GAGUCUCCGCGUCCCGCUCGCUGGGAGAGAGGAGUGGAGUCAACAUAUCAAUGGAGCAAGUCACAGUCGUCGAUGCCAGCUUCUUCUUGAAAUGUAGGAGUUUGAAAUACCUUUAAAACAUCCUUAUCGUGAAUCAGAAUCAGCCAUUAUUGGUUUUUGGGAGUUCAUCAUUUACUUGUAAUAUCCACAAUGUUAAUAUCACAUAGUGGUAUUGUAUGGACAAUACUAUUUACAAGUAAAAUGUUUAGAUCUGGAAAUUUCAUAUUGAAUAUUAGAUGCAGUAAUAAUGAUAUUUUGUUAGUUAACAUUUCUAGGAUACAUAUAUUGGUCAUUAUACAAAUUGGUGAUUUUUACUAGACAUAGUGAAAGAUAGUAUUUGAUAUGUAGAGUGGAUUAAACAGUAGCAUUUUUAAUAAUACAUGCUCUAAAAAUGUAAAAGAUACGGAAAAGAGGGUAGGUUAUUAAAAGAUUCUAAUUCGUUGUCCAGUAAAAUCCUUGGUGAUGAAUUUUUUUUUUUUUUUUUUUGCUUUUGAGAUCUUUGGUUUUGAGUUCAGGCUGCUACCAUGAAAUGGAAU
rnacentral:sRNA from 1 species